AAACAAAAUCUUAAAGGAAGAAAGAAACACGGUGCUUGUCUCGCAGACCAAAAACAAUUUCUCUCUCUCUUCCUCGUCUUUCAUCUCUUUAUAAUUUCAAUUGUUACAUCUUUUAUUAUAUAUUUAUUAUGUUAUACAUAUAAUUAAUAGACUAUCUGGGUCAAAAAAAAAAAGCUAGAAUUUUUAUACAUGUAACAAUUGAUUUUGAUGGUUAAUGGAUCUGUGGAAAGCUGAAAUCCUGUGAUUGAGGGAGUUUAUGUGAAUGAAUGAGAUAUGGGAUUAGAAUCGGUUGGUGGGUUUAUGAAAUCAAUAUCAUCAGCAAGUAGAAGGGAAUUUUAUUUUCGAAAUUUCAAUCGGUGAUUGAUCAAUCUUUGAUAUUUUAGGUGUUUUUUUUUUUGUUUUAAUGGAGGAAGUGGAGAUGGCCGAUUUGUGGGUUGGAGCUUGAUUUUAUGUAUUGGUGGUGGGUCAAUGGAUGAGGGCAGCCCUAGCAAUGGAGGUCAAGCCACGUGGAGGCCGAGGGAGCUGGCGUUUCGCCUAUAUAUGCUGCGCAAUGAAACACAAGGUUUACGAGUUGUUGUUGGAAAGCCUUUGGUGUCCAGACUUACCAAGGAUAUAGUUGAAACAUACCAAAUAUGCAACCCACAGUUCAAGUAUUCUGAAGAACUAAAUCCAAAGCGGUAUUUGACCAGCCCAUCUGUUGGGGUCCUCAAUGAUGGCUAUGAUAAUGUUAACUCAGAUCUUAUUUUGGCUGUGAACUUUGUCUUGGUCAAUUUAGAGACGCAGAGAAGAUAUGUUGUCAAAGAUGUUCUCGGUCAUGGAACUUUUGGGCAGGUUGCUAAGUGCUGGGAUGCAGAAACGAAUGGUUUUGUUGCUCUGAAGAUAAUUAAAAAUCAACCUGCAUACUAUCAGCAGGCAUUGGUUGAAGUAUCUAUUUUGACAACGUUAAACAAGAAGUAUGAUCCAGACGAUAAGCAUCACAUUGUUCGUAUUUAUGAUUACUUUGUACAUCAACGCCAUUUGUGCAUUUGCUUUGAACUACUGGACACAAAUCUGUAUGAGCUUAUCAAGAUUAAUCACUUUAGGGGGUUAUCAUUGAGCAUUGUCCAAUUGUUCUCUAAACAGAUUUUACGUGGACUGGCUCUGUUAAAAGAUGCUGGGAUAAUUCACUGUGAUCUGAAGCCAGAAAAUAUUCUUUUGUGCACAAGUGUAAAGCCGGCAGAAAUUAAAAUAAUUGACUUUGGAUCAGCAUGCAUGGAAGAUCGCACUGUAUACUCCUACAUUCAGAGUCGUUACUAUAGAUCUCCAGAAGUUCUUCUUGGGUAUCAAUAUACUACGGCUAUUGAUAUGUGGUCCUUUGGGUGCAUAGUUGCUGAAUUGUUUCUAGGGCUGCCAUUAUUCCCAGGAGCUUCAGAAUUUGAUCUUUUGAGGCGAAUGAUUGAAAUACUUGGAGAACAGCCCCCUGAUUAUGUACUAAAGGAGGCAAAAAAUACAAGCAAGUUUUUCAAGUGCAUUGGGAGUGUCCACAGUAUGGAUAAUGGUGAAGUUUUCAUGGGUGGAAGAAGUGCUUACCAAGCACUAACAGAGAUGGAGUAUGAAGCUAGAGAGUUGAAAAAACCACUGAUUGGGAAAGAGUACUUCAAUCAUAAGAACCUUGCAGAAAUUGUUACAAACUACCCUUACAGAAAGAACUUGUCUAUGGAAGAUAUUGUGAAAGAAAGUCAAGGACGAUUAGCUUUGCUUGAUUUUCUUAAGGGACUUGUUGAGUUUGAUCCUGCUAAACGGUGGUCACCUUUUCAGGCUUCAAGACAUCCUUUUGUGACAGGGGAACCUUUCACUUGCCCUUAUGAACCACCCCCAGAGACACCUCGCAUGCCUGUUGGUCAGAAUAUUAAGGUGGAUCAUCACCCAGGUGCAGGCCAUUGGUUUGCUGCUGGUCUUUCUCCUAAUAUUUCUGGCAGGAACAAAUUUUCCCUGCAUAAUACCCCACAUUUUCAGGUGGUGCCAUAUGCUCAUGGUAAUAGUUAUGGUAGUGUGGGAAGCUAUGGUAGUUAUAAUGAUGGUACUGGGCUUGGAAGUAGUUACGGGAGUUAUGGUGAUGGUGGCAAUAUGUUUGCCUAUUUCUCUCCUGUUGGUCCAUCUGGGAUGAACAUGGCUGCACAAGGAGGCAUGUCAAUGCUUGGAAGUAGCCCUGAUGCAAGAAAGAGGGUCAUUCAGUAUUCUCAUGGAAAUGGGCUUGGUGUGAGUCCAUCAGCAGGAAUUAUGGUUCCACUCCCCCUAGGUACUAGUCCCUCACAAUUCACUCCUCCAAGCUCAUAUGGUCAGGUUUCAGCUGGCUCUCCUGGACAUUAUGGUCCAACUUCUCCUGCAAGAAGCAGUGUUCAUGGAUCUCCUUUAGGAAAAAUGGCUGCUGUUACCCACUAUAAUAGAAGAAAAAGUUGGGGAUAUUCUGGAAAUUCUCAAGAGAGUUCAUCAUCUCAACAUUGGCAAGGACAAUCUAUUGAUGGCACCAGCUCUGGUCAAUCUGAAGCUAACUCUCAAGUACUUGGUAGUUUGUCAUCAAAUCUGCAAUCAAAUCCAGGUUCCUCCAACUCAAAGCAGCAACGAGGAGGCUCCGGAAUUACUCAUAAUUUGUCUGCGAUGAAGAGCAUGUCCAGCUCGUUAACACGUGGUUCUUGUAGUGCAGAAACAGCUCAUGAUAAACCUGAAGCUGGCCUGUCAAUGCCAGAUCCUGGAGACUGGGAUCCCAAUUAUAGUGAUGAACUUCUUCUGCAAGAUGGUCCAGAUGAGACCUCCUUAACUGCUGAGUUAAGCAAAGCUAUGCAUCUUGGUUCGGCUGAUUCAUCAGUUGGAAUUGGAAGAUUCAACCGCGCCUCAAGCACAAGCUCAAAUCUACCCAUCCAAAGACAAAAUGGGCCCAUCCAAGCAUUUUCACAUGGAGACAUGGGCAGUCCACCGUCAGCUCAUGACCCACAGGUUGGAUAUUCCCGUUUCAUGUCAAAGCCUUCUCAUUUCAUGACUCACAGCUCACAGAAUUCUCCAAGCCGUUUAGGACAGCCACCUGUUCAACGGUUCAAUUAUAUGAGGCCCAAUGCUCCUCAAGGGAGUGAAUGGAAUCAUAUCAAGGUGCCGCCUCCUGCUUCUAGCUUUAACUCUGGCGGCCAACGUUCUCCUGGAAGUGGCUCAUUCAACAACGUCAUACCAUGGGGACGUAGGGCCAAUCAUCCUGUCACAAAUAUUCCAACUGCAUCUCGUGGAAGAAAAGACUAUGGAAGGAUUGUGUGAUGUUGGAAUCCGCUUGAUUUCAGUAGGAGGGAUUAUGUAUUGAGUUGGCAAGAAAAUUGUACUCUGUAGUAAUUCACAUGUCUAGUGGGCUUCUAAGCAAAUCCUCAUCCAAACCAUGCUCAUUCUUUGUGCUUGCAUAAAUCCGCUGAAAGGAAUAGGAAUCCAAAAAGACAGAGUUAUAUUGUCAAGGUGAUGGCUGGAGUUUUUCAUUUAGUUGAGGUGUUGGAAAUGGAAGCUGUAAAUGUAGUAGAAUUGUUUUAUUUUUUCCAUUUUGUAAAAAAUUAUUUGACCAAUUCUUUUUCUCUAAGCCAAUUUGCGUUGUAAAGUUAAGCAAGUUAUUGAUCCUUGAGUUCAGC